AGUGAACGCUGGCGGUAUGCCUAACGCAUGCAAGUCGAACGGCAGCACAGUAAGAGCUUGCUCUUACGGGUGGAGAGUGGCGGACGGGUGCGGAAUACACCGGAAUCUACUUUUUAGUGGGGGAUAACGUAUGGAAACUUACGCUAAUACCGCAUACGACAUACGGGUGAAAGCAGGGGAUCUUCGGACCUUGCGCGAUUGAAUGAGCCGAUGUCGGAUUAGCUAGUUGGCGGGGUAAAGGCCCACCAAGGCGACGAUCCGUAGCUGGUCUGAGAGGAUGAUCAGCCACACUGGAACUGAGACACGGUCCAGACUCCUACGGGAGGCAGCAGUGGGGAAUAUUGGACAAUGGGCGCAAGCCUGAUCCAGCCAUACCGCGUGGGUGAAGAAGGCCUUCGGGUUGUAAAGCCCUUUUGUUGGGAAAGAAAAGCAGCAGGUUAAUACCCCGCUGUUAUGACGGUACCCAAAGAAUAAGCACCGGCUAACUUCGUG
rnacentral:rRNA from 1 species